UGAAUAGCAGUUAUUCGGAAAACUAACAUACAUUUCUCUAGAAGUAGAAAUACUGAUUUGUAGCAUUACCAAGUCAACCAUCUCAAGUGCUGUAAAUAUAAAUAGAUCAGUAUAUGUACAUAUCUAUAAACUUUGGCCAACAAUAUAAUACAGAGCCUUGAUGUUUUACUGCUAGGCUCUCCUAUUCCAAUAAUCGAAUCCUUGUGUAAAGUACUGCAAGACAAAAGGGAUUAAUUGCACUAAGCAUUCUUAAAUAUCUAUGCCCAAUUAUCUACUAUUCUAUUCAAAAAGAGAUGAACACACAAGUUUUUCAUUUAAAAACUGUAAGAACAUGUGUGAUGUUCUCACCAACAAUUUUCUCAGGUGUUAUGAUAUUUCUGUAGGAAGUCAACAAUAAGCUUCUUGUUCUCCGACUACUCAUUUUUCAGGGCCAUCUUCUUGUCCUUUCUUUGUAGA
rnacentral:lncRNA from 1 species